AUACGGAGGGUGCAAGCGUUACUCGGAAUCACUGGGCGUAAAGCGCAUGCAGGCGGUCUAAUAAGUUGGAAGUGAAAGCCUACGGCUCAACCGUAGAACUGCUUCCAAAACUGUUAGACUAGAGUCUGGGAGGGGAAGAUGGAAUUAGUAGUGUAGGGGUAAAAUCCGUAGAGAUUACUAGGAAUACCAAAAGCGAAGGCGAUCUUCUGGAACAGUACUGACGCUGAGAUGCGAAAGCGUGGGGAGCAAACAGGAUUAGAUACCCUAGUAGUCC
rnacentral:rRNA from 1 species